rnacentral:rRNA from 1 species
AACGAACGUUAGCGGCGCGCUUAACACAUGCAAGUCGAACGAGAAAGGGCUUCGGCCCCGGUAAAGUGGCGCACGGGUGAGUAACACGUGGGUAACCUGCCCUCGAGCGGGGGAUAACAUUCCGAAAGGAGUGCUAAUACCGCAUAAGACCACGAUCUCGAAAGAGGACGAGGUAAAAGCUGGCCUCUAUACAUAAGCUAGCACUUGAGGAUGGGCCCGCGGCGCAUCAGGUAGUUGGUGAGGUAAUGGCUCACCAAGCCUAAGACGCGUAGCUGGUCUGAGAGGAUGAUCAGCCACACUGGAACUGAGACACGGUCCAGACUCCUACGGGAGGCAGCAGUGGGGAAUCUUGCGCAAUGGGCGAAAGCCUGACGCAGCGACGCCGCGUGAGUGACGAAGGCCUUCGGUCGUAAGACUCUGUGGGGCGGAGAAGAAUAAAGACCUGUGAAGAAUAGGGCCGUUGACGGUAUCUCCUUAGCAAGCACCGGCUAACUCCGUCG